rnacentral:rRNA from 1 species
GGUUAAGUUAGAAAGGGCGCACGGUGGAUGCCUUGGCACUAGGAGCCGAAGAAGGACGGGACUAACACCGAUAUGCUUUGGGGAGCUGUACGUAAGCGUUGAUCCAGAGAUUUCCGAAUGGGGGAACCCACUAUCUUUAGUCGGAUAGUAUCCUUACGUGAAUACAUAGCGUGAGGAAGGCAGACCCAGGGAACUGAAACAUCUAAGUACCUGGAGGAAGAGAAAGAAAAAUCGAUUUCCUGAGUAGCGGCGAGCGAAACGGAAAGAGCCCAAACCAAGAAGCUUGCUUCUUGGGGUUGUAGGACACUCUAUACGGAGUUACAAAAGAAAGUUAUAAAUGAAGCGGUCUGGAAAGGCCCGCCAAAGACGGUAACAGCCCGGUAGUUGAAAUGGCUUUCCCUCCAGAGUGGAUCCUGAGUACGGCGGAACACGUGAAAUUCCGUCGGAAUCCGGGAGGACCAUCUCCCAAGGCUAAAUACUCCCUAGUGACCGAUAGUGAACCAGUACCGUGAGGGAAAGGUGAAAAGCACCCCGGAAGGGGAGUGAAACAGUUCCUGAAACCGUGUGCCUACAAGUAGUUAGAGCCCGUUAAUGGGUGAUAGCGUGCCUUUUGUAGAAUGAACCGGCGAGUUACGAUUUGUUGCAAGGUUAAGCGGAAAAAGCGGAGCCGUAGCGAAAGCGAGUCUGAAUAGGGCGCAUAAGUAACAGGUCGUAGACCCGAAACCAGGUGAUCUACCCAUGUCCAGGAUGAAGGUAAGGUAAUACUUACUGGAGGUCCGAACCCACGCACGUUGAAAAGUGCGGGGAUGAGGUGUGGGUAGCGGAGAAAUUCCAAUCGAACUUGGAGAUAGCUGGUUCUCUCCGAAAUAGCUUUAGGGCUAGCCUCGAGGUAAAGAGUCAUGGAGGUAGAGCACUGUUUGGACUAGGGGCCCUUCUCGGGUUACCGAAUUCAGAUAAACUCCGAAUGCCAUGUACUUAUACUCGGGAGUCAGACUGCGAGUGAUAAGAUCCGUAGUCGAAAGGGAAACAGCCCAGACCACCAGUUAAGGUCCCCAAAUAUAUGUUAAGUGGAAAAGGAUGUGGGGUUGCUUAGACAACCAGGAUGUUGGCUUAGAAGCAGCCACCAUUGAAAGAGUGCGUAAUAGCUCACUGGUCGAGUGACCCCGCGCCGAAAAUGUACCGGGGCUAAACAUAUUACCGAAACUGUGGAUGAACCUCUUUAGAGGUUCGUGGUAGGAGAGCGUUCUAAGGGCGGUGAAGUCAGACCGGAAGGACUGGUGGAGCGCUUAGAAGUGAGAAUGCCGGUAUGAGUAGCGAAAGAAGGGUGAGAAUCCCUUCCACCGAAUAUCUAAGGUUUCCUGAGGAAGGCUCGUCCGCUCAGGGUUAGUCGGGACCUAAGCCGAGGCCGAUAGGCGUAGGCGAUGGACAACAGGUAGAGAUUCCUGUACCAGUGCUAAUUGUUUAACCGAUGGGGUGACACAGAAGGAUAGGGAAUCGCACGAAUGGAAAUGUGCGUCCAAGCAGUGAGUGUGAGAAGUAGGCAAAUCCGCUUCUCGNNNNNNNNNNNNNNNNNNNNNNNNNNNNNNNNNNNNNNNNNNNNNNNNNNNNNNNNNNNNNNNNNNNNNNNNNNNNNNNNNNNNNNNNNNNNNNNNNNACGAAGCAUGAGCUGUGAUGGGGAAGGAAAUUAAGUACGGAAGUUCCUGAUUUCACGCUGUCAAGAAAAGCCUCUAGGAAGAGUAGUACUGCCCGUACCGCAAACCGACACAGGUAGAUGAGGAGAGAAUCCUAAGGUGAGCGAGAGAACUCUCGUUAAGGAACUCGGCAAAAUGACCCCGUAACUUCGGGAGAAGGGGUGCUCUAUUAGGGUGCAAGCCCGAGAGAGCCGCAGUGAAUAGGCCCAGGCGACUGUUUAGCAAAAACACAGGUCUCUGCAAAACCGUAAGGUGACGUAUAGGGGCUGACGCCUGCCCGGUGCUGGAAGGUUAAGAGGAGUGCUUAGCUUCGGCGAAGGUACGAAUUGAAGCCCCAGUAAACGGCGGCCGUAACUAUAACGGUCCUAAGGUAGCGAAAUUCCUUGUCGGGUAAGUUCCGACCCGCACGAAAGGCGCAACGAUCUGGGCACUGUCUCAACGAGAGACUCGGUGAAAUUAUAGUACCUGUGAAGAUGCAGGUUACCCGCGACAGGACGGAAAGACCCCGUGGAGCUUUACUGCAACCUGAUAUGGAAUGUUUGUACCGCUUGUACAGGAUAGGUAGGAGCCGAAGAGACGUGUGCGCUAGCAUACGAGGAGGCAAUGGUGGGAUACUACCCUGGCUGUAUGACCAUUCUAACCCGCCACGCUUAGCGCGUGGGGAGACAGUGUCAGGUGGGCAGUUUGACUGGGGCGGUCGCCUCCUAAAGAGUAACGGAGGCGCCCAAAGGUUCCCUCAGAAUGGAUGGAAAUCAUUCGCAGAGUGUAAAGGCACAAGGGAGCUUGACUGCGAGACUGACAAGUCGAGCAGGGACGAAAGUCGGGCUUAGUGAUCCGGUGGUUCCGCAUGGAAGGGCCAUCGCUCAACGGAUAAAAGCUACCCCGGGGAUAACAGGCUUAUCUCCCCCAAGAGUCCACAUCGACGGGGAGGUUUGGCACCUCGAUGUCGGCUCGUCGCAUCCUGGGGCUGUAGUCGGUCCCAAGGGUUGGGCUGUUCGCCCAUUAAAGCGGCACGCGAGCUGGGUUCAGAACGUCGUGAGACAGUUCGGUCCCUAUCCGUCGCGGGCGCAGGAAAUUUGAGAGGAGCUGUCCUUAGUACGAGAGGACCGGGAUGGACACACCGCUGGUGUACCAGUUGUUCCGCCAGGAGCAUCGCUGGGUAGCUAUGUGUGGCAGGGAUAAACGCUGAAAGCAUCUAAGCGUGAAGCCCCCCUCAAGAUGAGAUUUCCCAUUUCUUCGGAAAGUAAGAUCCCUGAAAGAUGAUCAGGUAGAUAGGUUUGGAGUGGAAGUGUAGCGAUACAUGGAGCGGACAAAUACUAAUCGAUCGAGGACUUAACCAA